ensembl:ncRNA lncRNA:CR44661 long non-coding RNA:CR44661
UUCACUGAGUUGUACGGCAAUCGGAUUUAACUAUAUGCAAAGACUAUGGAAGAGAGGUAGCACGGGGGUAAGUCCAAUUCGUCAUGGGGCGAAAACUCAUAACAGAAGACUAGAAGGAACAAGAAUGCCGGGCACCACAAAAAGUUGGGACUGACGGUUUGGACUUUGGACGGUUUACGUGAUGUCGUCGUCGUACGAUGACGCUGCCUCAGAGACUGAGAAAAUUCGAUGCUGGUGCUGGAGCGUGUGUGUUCCAUUAAAAACAGAAAAGAAAUAAAUAAUGAACGUAAACCAGAAAUUAAAGAAACCUUCGACUAAGUUUAGACGGGACCAAAGACCAAUUCAUGCGAAUACGUCAUUGCUUGUAGAUAAAUGGGUGUCAUCGUACACUGGGGUGCAAAAGUGGUUCAAACUUGUUUUGACGGCGCCAAACUAGAAAUAAAGCUAUUUGCUUAACUAAGAACCCUAGU